rnacentral:lncRNA from 1 species
AUGCGAAGCAUCGGAAUGCAACCGUCGGAGAAGCAGCACCCAGAGGUGCAGACCCCAGGCACCUUGUCACACGAGGCUGGACAGGAGUGUGGGCUUCUGCUGGCCCCGGGGCAAGGUGGCAUCUGUCCAGGGAACGGAGUUAAACAGAGGCUCCGGCUGGAGAUAAAUGACCUACACGCCGGCCCGUUAAUCAUUCUCCACUUUGCAUGUGGCCUCCCUCAAUCCUCUCGGGUCCGAGUUCAGGUGCGGAGCGCGUGUGUGGGCAGAGGCCCCGAGGAAGGGCCGGCCCUCAGCGAGAGCCCCGUCCAGUCUGCUCCCCACCAGCCAGCUCUGGAGUGUGUGUGGGUGCGGGUGACAGACUUGGAACAUGUCCCGAGAUGCAUUCGAAGCUCCUUGACUCCUGAGUCGAGGCGUUCAGGUCGCGGCCCGUCUUUCCCGAGCUCCUGGGCCGCGCCGUCCGAAGUGAACAGGGCUCGGGCCAGACCCGCAGGCAUCGCUCGGCGGCCUGGAGGGAGGGAAGGGGACAGACAUGUGUGCGGCCACAGGGAAGGGCUCCCGGAGGAAGCGAUGCCUGGGCCGAAAGGCCAGGAGCAAGACAGCCUGGGAUGCGUCCGGGGGCAGGUCGGAGCCGACCCCCCAGGCCGGGGUGCCGAAGCUUGGCCACCGCCAUGGCGGGGGAGCUGGUGGGGGGCUGGCAGGGGGCGAUCGGAGACGGGGAGCCCGCCCCACGCCUCUCCCCGCCGGCCUCACCCCACAGGCCGCCUGCGCCUCGUCCAGUCCUGGAGGGUCCCCCGUCGGCCCGCUCCGAGGAACAUUCUCCUGCGGCCAGGACUGUCGACGGCUCCCGACAGAGGGCCCGGGGCCUCAGCUGGGCAGGGAGGGUGGACGGAAAUGAUCUCCCUGGGCCUGGGGCAGCCAGAGGCCAGACUCUGCGGUACCCCUCCCCACAACCGGGGCUGCCCGCCGCGGGCUCGGGGCCCGGGUCACAGGGCCGACUGGGUCCCCGCCAUCCAUUGCCAGAGGCCGGGCUGCUCCCGAAGGGCCCACGGCGGCCUGGUGACCUGUGCCUGCAACCGCUGGGGACACUUGCCGGGCGGCCGUCAGGAGGGCCGAACACUCACUUGGGCUGGAGCACAGGCCCACGGGAGUUCGAGGACACGCCGGGGCCCAGGCAGGAGAGGACGCGGCGCAGGGCCCUGA